CACACAAGCAGACUGUCACAUAACAAGCUGGUGCUUGCUGCUGGCAACAUCUGGGCAAUAUUAGUGCUAUUAACAAUGUGACCUCUUACAAGGUGCACUCCCUCUUAAAGUGUUUUACUCAUCUGUAGGUAGAUGCUACCAAGCGAUCUGUUUCAAGACACCAGUUAAUGGCAGGUGCAGCAAAAACAUUCACUAGCUGCUUCUGAGAUUUCCGAUCUCAAGGUCCACAAAGACCAUAUGAUUCUCCUCUGCUAAUCUAUGUUUGCUAGCCUGUAUUUUCUUCUAUUCAGCAGGGUAGAAAGCCAGGGAGGAUGCUAAGUUAUUUUAUUUCUUUAAAGAGUCAAAAGUACUGAAGUGUUUAAACAGUGUGUUUAGAGUCAACACUUACCUUCUUGGCAGAGAAGAUUGGCUGCUUUUGUUUGAGGGGUCCAUUAGUCUUUCCUGACUUUUCUGUAGCUCUGUUGACAGUUCCCAAAGCCUUUCUGGCAGGUUUAGGUAGGGCAGAUGGCGCAUCAAAUAUUUUACCAAUAUGUGGUGUUGAAACCUGAGAUUUCCCAUCUAAGGCUUUGACUGCUGAAGAAAAAUAGUUUAAGAUUAUUUAAGCAGUAAACAGCUGUGUAACUUUGAAGGCUGACUGGCUGACUGGUAUUUAAACUUGUCCUAAUUCUCACCCCUAAACUCGCCCCGAUUUUUGACAAUGGCAUGGCUAUGAUAUGCUCAACAGCACUUCAGUUCAGUGCUCUCUUAAAUAAUCCUAUUAAGAUACUAAGCAAGAAAAAGAAACCCAUAACAAAUUGUUUGCAAUAAGAGGGAGCCGUAGACUUGACAACAAUUACCGACAGAGCACACCAAAUCCCUGAGCUAGCUCUGGACCACAUGCACAAUUAAUUCAGAAUAGUUGUAUUUUCAGUUGUAGCCUGUGUACUUACAAGACCCAGAUCCCAGCUUCAGUCCAUCCUUGGGAGCAACACGAGUGCCUACUUCUCCAUUUUCCUUAUCAACAAAAAUCAGAGUAGCCAUUCUGGAUUACUCUAGGGGUGAUACAUAAAUAUUAGACCCUGAGGGUUAUGGAAGCCGAGAAAAGGCUGAGGCGCCAAAAGGCGGAUUAAAAACAAACAAACCCGUUGCCCUCCAGUCAACUCCGAUUCACAGGGACCCUAUAGGACAGAACAGAACAGAACUGCCCUAUAGGGUUUCCAAGGAGGGCCUGGUGGAUUCGAACUGCCAGCCUUUUCGUUAGCAGCUGUAGUUCUUAACCACUAAGCCACCAGGGUUUCCAAGCGGCAGAUUGACCAUGUGAAAUCACGCACUACCGAUUAGCAAGUAAACACAAGUAAACUCGUGCAUACCUGGCUUACUGGUUAAUCCGCCCCAGUAACAGGACAAAACUUGCCCACCCCGUGAACGGCCACAUACCAAGAAAAGCUACACAGGGAGAGAAGCCCGUGUUUGAGCCAGUAAGCACUUAACUCAGCUCUUAACUCUUCAAACCUGAGUCAGGGGCUCUAAGCUUCUGAGGAGCAGGCGGUUUGAGUUCCGCACAGGCCCUGGCACCUACCAGACGAGAGCCGCCGGGAGUCCCAGACGUGCCAGUAAGCCCGGCGCAGUGAAAUCGACACCUGCCAGCCCUCCUACCUCCCCUUGGAACUCAGCUCUCCCGACCACACCAGGAGCCUCCGUGGACCCACCUCGAUCUCAACAGCCAAAUUCACCCGAGACUCAGCCGCCCGCGGUCGCGCCACGCUCGGCGUUUAAACUACAACUAGCGCCCCUAUUGGUUCGUCAGCCCAGGCGGCGUGGUGGGGGCUGGACGCCCAGGAAGAGCCAAUGGGAGGCGUCCAAACUCUCUGGGCUGCGCCCCAAAGCCCUUUCCGGAAGUUUGCAGCUAGUUUUCAAGGGACGCUGCUUGGAAACUCAACGGGGCAGGUUUACUCCAUCCUAUAGGGUCGCUGGGUCGGAAUCUACUGGAAGGCACAAGAACAACUGAUGGAUUCCAACCCGCAAUUUUUCAGUUAGCAGCCGAGCACUUAGCCACUGUGCCACCAGGGAGAUGAAAGGAGCUUUUGAAGGACUAAGUGGGUCAACAGUUUCGAACUUUGAUGUGAGUCAGAAUCAGAUGUGGUGCUUGUCAAAAAUACAAACCCUGGAGGCGGAGCUAAGAUGGCGGCUUAGUCACACACACCAUAAGGUCCCCCUCUACCAAAGACCCCAAAAAACAAGCAAAUCAGAAGCAAAUAACAAUCCAGGAACCUUGAAUGUCAAAAAAGAAAGUCUAAGGACUGCAUCGAAUACCAACUGGAAGGAAUAAAGAAAGCAGUGAAAAGAGUAACACUGAACAGUGGAGCUCCACCAGUCCUUCCAGGCCACCACAACUAACUUAAGACUAAGCCAGCAGAGACUGUGACCCUAAUACCUCACAGCAUGUUUUCUCUUUUUCAAAAUGGGUGACUGAGAGCUUGACAUGACUAACGCCAUAACGAUACUCCAAGUAACCUAUAAGUUUUUUUUAACUGUACCAGCUGCACUGGUCUCUUUCCAAAAGGGCGUGGGGCCUUCUCGGCUCUUGCGGCUUUGGUCUCCCUCCUGUUCUUUGUUCUCUUGGGAGAUGACCUUCAGCCUGCAAGACUGCAGCUAGAAAGGCUGUCUGGCACUUUUGGUCUAUAACUUUCUUUCUUGCUCCUCAUCUCAGUCAGAGUAAACUUGGCAGGCUAGUUCCACUGC